rnacentral:rRNA from 1 species
GAACUGAAGAGUUUGAUCAUGGCUCAGAUUGAACGCUGGCGGCAGGCCUAACACAUGCAAGUCGAGCGGAUGAGUGGAGCUUGCUCCAUGAUUCAGCGGCGGACGGGUGAGUAAUGCCUAGGAAUCUGCCUGGUAGUGGGGGACAACGUUUCGAAAGGAACGCUAAUACCGCAUACGUCCUACGGGAGAAAGUGGGGGAUCUUCGGACCUCACGCUAUCAGAUGAGCCUAGGUCGGAUUAGCUAGUUGGUGAGGUAAAGGCUCACCAAGGCGACGAUCCGUAACUGGUCUGAGAGGAUGAUCAG